rnacentral:lncRNA from 1 species
UCAUAUUCCUAAUAUUAUUUUCUCAAAGUAAGUAUUUUUAAAUAAACAGAAUUGAAGAACCAGCCGGGACAAGCAUAUUUGGAGACACUAAAAACACUAAAGGAUACACUAAGUGAUUCAGAAAAUAAGGCCCAGAUGUCUCUCCAUGCUCUGAAUGAUCUUGCCAAGAUGGAGAAGGCCCUGCAAGAAAAAAAGGCCCUUGAUGAAAUCCUUGAGAAUCAAAAACCCAUGUUAUGUAAACUUGCAGAAGAAACAAAGGCUUUGGAGAAAAAUGUGCUUCCUGAUGUAGAAAAAAUGUAUAAGCAAGAAUUUGAUGAUGCCCAAGGAAAGUGGAAUAAAUUAAAGGCCAAGGUUUCCAAAGAUCUACAUUUGCUUGAAGAAAUUACCUCCAAACUCAGAGCUUUUGAGGUAAAUCAGGUGGCCAUCAGGAGCUUAAGUUUAUUGUAGGG